AGGUUUUCUUGUUUUUUUAUAGCAGGAUGUUCAUUUGGUUCUUGUGUUUGUGUGAGUUGCACAAUAUGAAAUAAAAUUUGGUUGGAUUACCCAAAAUAGUUGGCCGCAACCAAAACAAAAGUUGCCCAAUAUGCAAUUCCAUCUUUGUGUGUUUUGGGGGUUUAAUGCACAAGUUUGGGUGAACUAUAUUUGGAGCAAUUGUAGUCAGCAUGAAGGAUUGGAGAAGUUGAAUUCAAGGUGAAGAAGAAGAUGAGGAACAUGUCAUGUUGCUUCCUCUUUUUUAAGUUGAAGGUCUAUAGCAACCUGGUACAUCUCACUUCUUUCCUUCUCUUUUUCACCUCAAAAAUUGUGUAGAUCAGAACUUCUUGGUCUUCACCUUGACAGAACUUCAAGGACAACUUCUGAGAUAGGGAAGGCUCCCAUGACAUGUUCCUUCUUGCUUAUUUCAUAGGGAAGAAGAUGGUGGGUGAAGCAGUAGGAGAUGGGUUGGUGCGUGCUGCGUGAUUGGUGAGACCAGGAAGUUGGAAGAGAAAUGAAGGAGGGCAGAAUCACGUGGGUUUAGGACUGGAAUGAGGCGCUGAGGACCUGGUGUUUUCUGUGCAGUGGGGAGCUGCCCUUUCCCUUUCUUUCCUCUUUGGGAUUGGGUGGGGACAGAAAUGUACCAUAUUUAAGAGGCCGCUCGGGACUGCUAGGGAGCCAACGACCACUCCCUAGACGUGUCCAGUUAAAUAAUGGUUGAUUCUAGUGUACGUUGGCUUGAUUUGCUGGUUGUUUGAUUUGACUGGACAAAGAAGAGAGAGGCUCCAAAUUUUUGUACACAUCCACGCACACAUCCUUAUAGUAUUUUUCUUGGAGAGUUGCCUAAAAACUAUUUUCUGAAGAAAGAAGCAGUAAAAAGGAAGUGCAUACUUUAGGACUUGUUGACUGUUUACAAGAGUUGUACUGCGCAAGUACUAUGACAAACACAUCUCCCGCACGUGGGAUCUGGUCGAUCACAUCAGCUAGUUUCUUCCUUGUUAGUUCAGAUCCACUUUUCAACACAAUAAAAAUACUGAUUGCAG
rnacentral:lncRNA from 1 species